UACGUAGGUCCCGAGCGUUGUCCGGAUUUAUUGGGCGUAAAGCGAGCGCAGGUGGUUUAUUAAGUCUGGUGUAAAAGGCAGUGGCUCAACCAUUGUAUGCAUUGAAAACUGGUAGACUUGAGUGCAGGAGAGGAGAGUGGAAUUCCAUGUGUAGCGGUGAAAUGCGUAGAUAUAUGGAGGAACACCGGUGGCGAAAGCGGCCCUCUGGCCUGUAACUGACACUGAGGCUCGAAAGCGUGGGGAGCAAACAGG
rnacentral:rRNA from 1 species